rnacentral:rRNA from 1 species
UACGUAGGUGGCAAGCGUUGUCCGGAUUUAUUGGGUUUAAAGGGUGCGUAGGCGGUCCUAUAAGUCAGUGCUGAAAUAUCCCGGCUUAACCGGGAGGGUGGCAUUGAUACUGCAGGACUUGAGUAAAGUUGAGGUAGGCGGAAUUGACGGUGUAGCGGUGAAAUUCAUAGAUAUGUCACAGAACACCGAUUGCGAAGGCAGCUUACUAAAGUGUAAAUGACGCUGAGGCACGAAAGCGUGGGGAUCAAACAGGA